CGCGCAGGCGGCUGGUCAAGUCCGAUGUGAAAUCUCCCGGCUCAACUGGGAAACUGCAUCGGAAACUGACCGGCUUGAAGGUGGGAGAGGGUAGUGGAAUUCCCGGUGUAGUGGUGAAAUGCGUAGAUAUCGGGAGGAACACCAGUGGCGAAGGCGACUACCUGGCCCAUUCUUGACGCUGAGGCGCGAAAGCUAGGGGAGCGAACG
rnacentral:rRNA from 1 species